GACUGCGUAGCCAAGUGGUAAGGCGAUGGUCUGCAAAACCAUUAAUCGUGGGUUCGAUCCCCACCGCAGUCUCCA
rnacentral:tRNA from 1 species